AUUAGUUGGAAUGUGCUUACAAUUUGUUUUGUGUAUAUAUAUUCGGCUUAUUUCAUUUUGGUUUGUUGACAGACAUCAUGAAAGUUGCGUUCCCGCCUCCAGUCGCGCCAAGGCCUGGGUUAAAGACGAGCCUGGCGCUGAAGCUGACGAGGAGGUCUGAAGCGGCACCAUUUGGGCUUUUUGAGAGAAUUCUUCAAAUGAUUUUGCCCAGACCCCUGCAGUGUCAAGUGAAGGAAGCUCCUCUCAUGAGAAUGCAAAGAGAAAUGAAGAAAGAAAUAGAAUGCUGAAGAUUAAUCCAUAAUUAAGAUCUCAGCUUAGUUUCUGGAAAUGCUUCAAGCAUGAAGAGCUUCAAGGAACUGAUUGACUCUGCUGAGAAAGAUGAUAAGUGAUGAGAAUGGGGCAGCGAUCUUGCAUCAAUUUGUCUCCUCCUUGAUUUGAUUCCACCACCCUGGAAAGACAUGGAAAGAUGUGCUCAUAUCAAGCUGAACAACACCUUGUUGUCUUCAAAAGGAGACCAGCGUACAAGAACACCUUGAUUG